rnacentral:tRNA from 1 species
GGGCCCGUUGCCUAGCCAGGGCUCUUGGGCAGUCCGCCUAGGAGAGAUGAAUAGGGCGCCAGCCUUCUAAGUUGGAGCUCGCGCGUUCAAAUCGCGCCGGGCCCGCCA